rnacentral:misc_RNA from 1 species
GCGGAAGCUGCGGCUGGAUCACCUCCUUUCUAGGGAUACCGGAGCAAUUACUUCCGGUAGGCGCCUGGCCGGUUAGAUGGCUUCUGCCGUCCCGCUACCAGGUUCGCCUAGAAACAACGUCGACCUCGACGAACGCUGUUGAGUUUUGAGAGACCGGUGCAAGCCGGCCUUUCGGCUGGGCGGGAAAAACCCGCGCGCACCUUGAAAACUCCAUAGCAGUAACUAGCGAGUUCUUCACGAUCAAGAGACUAAGAGCACAC